ensembl:lncRNA
CGGGGGCUCGCGACGGGGCGCUGCUGCUAGCGGGCGGUCCCUUAGAGAUCCUUCACCAGACGGGUGGGGAAGGUGGUUUUGCUGCCCAGUGAAAACCCGUCUGGAAAAUAAAAGUUUCUUUUUAGAAGAUUCAUUCACUCCAAAGUUGUGGGGUUUUUUGUUGUUUUUUUUUUCUUUAGUAGGCGAGUUGCUCGGGAGCUGCGAAACUUUUAUUCCAAUUGAUUAAAUGCCAGUUUCAUCAGAGCUGUUUACACCACCACGGAAUAAUGAAAGAGCAAUGUUUUUAGCAUAGUGGAUGUGUGAAAAUGGGCCACUGUAAGACUGAAAAUAUGACCAGAUACCAAAGUACUAAUUAAGCUUCUUAAUUGGGAAAAAGAAUGUCUUUUUCAGAUGUUCGUUAACUCCUCACAUCUCUCAGAUAUGUGAAUGCAUAUAGGGCUGAAUGUUUGGGUUUUGGGGUUCCACAAGGUGGUAUGGCAUCUCAGUUGGCUAACACUGUUUCUUCUGUACAGACAAAGUCUUCACUCAAACACCAUCUUGCAACCAAACUCAUCUUGGAAGAGAUGAUUCCCCCCUCCCCCAAGAAAAGCUUGGGGGAGAAAUCCUGCCGGCUGUUUUCUGCUGAGUCACUCCGCUGGCUUAUCAAGAGCCUUUCACCAGUGCUGUAACAUGACUCGUGCCGAUCAAGAUCAAAUCCCCCUUUGUUCAUGUGCUCGGAACCUAAAUUCCCCUUUUCAAGAUAGAAAUAAAAUAUAGUAAAAUGUGGGACACUUGGGAUUUGUUUAUAAUAAAAACCAGCACCCAUUUAAAAUCAAUUUCCAUUUAGUCUUUGCAAGGUGAUGUAUAUCACUAACACAAAUCCACUUGUCUUUAUUUAACCCUUUAUAUGAUUUACUUGCUUCAGAAGUCAUGAAGAAGGGACAGAUGCUCGGGAGAACACCCAAGCCUCCUGAUGGAGGAAGCCACAGCAUGCAGACGAAUCGCAGAUUAUUACAAGUAUCCACAUAGCUGCUGUGUGACCUUUCAAAUCAAAGCCAACCAGGUUCCCUCUGGCAAGAAUUCCAGAAACAGCUGGUACAGGACCAUAUGCCGUGCUGGCACUGCUGUGAGCUUAUUUCCCACUUGUCCUCCUGGUCAAUCAGAACUGCUCCAUGUGCUGAAGGACAGCUGGUCCCUUGGCAUGUGAAGCAGCUAUUGAACUUUUCCUCCCAAAAACCAUAGGGAUAGAGCAUGAUAACUCACAACACUGGCCUUUCCUUUCUUAACUCUUCAUCUGCUACCAAAGAUGGAARUCCUCUAAGGGAGCUUUAUUUGUUGCCCCUCCGUGACAAUCUACACACAGAGGAACUACAUGGACAUGCUUUGUAGGUAGCAGCAUUUAUUUAGAAAAUGAAGAUUAAAUUAUGUGUGUUGUAAAGAACGCUAAAACAAAUUUGAGUGGCUGAUUGAUUUGUGGUUUUAGCUGUUGUCAGCCUCAGCAAGUGCCAGUGUUUCCCUUUUUCAUUCUGACCCCUGCUGGAAAGGGUCUCAAAUGAAUUCCAUAUUCAUUGUCAUAUAAUAUUUUUUCUAUUAAGAAACAUACUGAAGGAGGAAGGCUAACAUGCACAGCAAUUCAGCAUUACAUAUUCAUGGCUUGCAAGCAUUUUACUGCCAGCUAUACAUCUUACUUUCUUGAAAUUGGUCAGUUUAUAAUAUUCCCUAAAAUUUCCUGCUAUGUGCAAUAAAAAGCUGAUUUUCCCUGAGCA